CAGUUAUUUGGUGAUGUGAAUAUAUUUAGUAUAGUUUUGUCUAAAAAGGAUAACUUUUUAAAAUGUUUUUCUGAAAUUCACUGAGUAGGAUGGUCCUCCCCUUCAUCCUCUGAGGAGCCUCCACUGCUAACAGAAUAAGCAAAUUGUGUCCUAACUUUUAGUUGAUUCACCAGGCAAAGCAGUGUGUGUGAUGAGGACUAACAGCUGCCAGUCUGACAGCAGUGGCUUCCUGGAAGAGCCCUUCAUCCCUUCCAUUACCCAGCAUCCCUCACCUGGACCCGAGCUCAUGAAGGCUUUGUCGGGAAUAUUUGGAGGCAGCACUGACAGCCAGAUCACUGUAAAAGGAGCUUCACCCCCCUCGUCCCCCCCAUCCACUUCCCUGGACCCUUCCCCUCCUUCCCUCUCCAUGUGCCACCCAAGACCCGAGUCUCCUCUAUACAGACCAGAGACAACAAGCCCUACAGAGGAGACACCCAGACACCAGGAUUCCCCCACACCCCACUCCCUCUCUGAUGCCUUGGAGAUGACUAACUCUGCUUUUGGAGCCAGGCCAAGCCUAAUGGAAAACACUGUCACUGAGGAAGAUGGAUUCUCUUCGGCCUGCGGUUCACCUUGUCAUAAGCCAGACUCUCCGUUACGGCACGUUAUUAUUAUCAUGAAAACAGAUAGAGAAACAGAACACUUUACUGUGGAAUCAGAGGAAGCUGUUCCAAUAGGAGGAGAGGAAAAGGACAUAGCGGAACAAAGUGGCAAUGUUCAGACAGGAACAGAGGCUGUUGGUGAUCAGGACACCGAUUGUUAUGGGUCACAUGAAGGCUCUCGGAUGAACUCGGUAGCUCUGGUGCAGAUGAAGAAAGAGACAGAGAUGAAGACGAAAGUACAGAUUAGUUCUGGUUUGGAAGGUCCAGUGUUGGGUCCUGUUGCUGUUCCUGAGGUGGUGAAUCAAGGCUCUGAGACUGGAUCUGUUUGUCAGGACCGGUACUCUGAAGAUCCUCUAUUAGGAUCUGACCCUAACUUCUCAGCAGAGCCUCUCCCUGCCUCCUCUCUCCCCCCAGCAGAGCCUCUCCCUGCCUCCUCUCUCCCCCCAGCAGAGCCUCUCUCUGCCUCCCUCCCCCCAGUGCACUGGGAAACAGGUGGCUCAAAGAUUUCAGAGGGAUCCUCAAGCUUGGUUGUCCAAGAGCCUGUCCCACCACUAUAUCAACCAGCAGACCCAUCGACAGACCCACCUCCAGGCCCAGCUUUAACCUCACCUUCAGAGCAAGUGUCACCUCCAUCCCCACCACCAUCUCCAUCCCCAGCCUCGUGGCCACACCAACCUCCAGCCUCAGCUUUUCCGGCAGCAUCCAGCUCAUCUCCAACCCAAGCCCAUUCCCCAAUCCCAAACCAUUCUCUAUCAGCCCUAACCACAACACCAACCCCAUCCUCAAUUCCAAACUCGCCAUCAGCCCAUUCCUUAACCGUAGCUCCAUCUCAAGCCCCAACUCCACUCGUCCCCCACAGUGGUGCUUUCAGGUCAGGCCGGUCUGUGUCUGUCCAGAUGCCCUCCUCCCUGCCCUCUGUCUCCCACUCUGCCCUCCGGAGAGGUGGCGUCCCCCACACCCCCUCCCCGCUCGGCCCUUCCUUCGAGCCCCGCCCCCUGACUGACCUGACGCUCCGGCAGAGGCGGAACUCCUUCUCCAGGAAGGCGUGGUCAGAUGCUGAUGUCUCCCACUUUGCAGAACACAGAAACACUGCGGUUGCCAUGGGAAAGGCAGUCAUGACACCUGAGAUGAUAUCCCUCCUGUCCCCCGUCCCCUCCCUGUCAUCGUCCAAUCGGUGGCUGUCUCGCGACGGUUCACGAAGAUCCGGAAGUUUCCAGAUGAAGUCCACCUCCUUGGACACGGGGCUGUGGCAGGAGGAAGAGGGGGAUGAAGUGGGGGAUGAGGAUAGACGGUGGGAACGAGCCCUGUUCUCUGGGCUUUCCUGCUGCUGCUCCUGUGAUAACCGCUGUAGCUGCUGUUCUCAGAACAAUCACCUCAAACCAUCCUCCGUUUCAGCUUUCCCUUAUUCCCUGGAUGAGCUGGAGGGGAUGAUGCACUGUAUGAGGAAGUUCCGCUGCGUCCUGACAGACAUCGAGGAACAGCUGUCAGAAGACCAGGCCUCGGUGUACAGCUCACUCUCUGACACUGACAGAGAUGAAGUGCGAGACAUCUUGGAGCUGAGGAAAGCUGUGAAACAGGAAGCAGGAGAGUUGGAACUGCAGCUCACUGACCUGGUUCAUCGCUAUGACGACAGCUUCAAAAUGAAGAUGCACAGACUACUCGAUGAACAAUCUCACCUCUACACCCAGCUAAGGCUCCUCCCCCUGAUCCCCAAGACCACCCCUGGCUCCGCCUCCUCUAGGAGCAUGGCCACUCAGUGCUGCCUGCUGCCCUGGCUGCCUUUGACGGACAUGUCCAGGCCACACCCCUCACCGCAGGCCACCUGGGAUUUGGAGUCCAGAUCAGCUCUGCCAGAUUCCAGUUCUAUGGGCCAGAGACUAAACCAUGGUUCUACCGGCACCAAGCCAGACAAACUGGACAUUCUGAAGGAGUCCAUACGCCACUCUGUCAAUACUGACUCACUGGAGUAAAAGAGAG
rnacentral:lncRNA from 1 species